rnacentral:lncRNA from 1 species
CUUGCAAGGGUUUGAACCAUGCUGUGACACUUGUUUUACCACAAGAGUUUGCGCUUUCAGCCAGUUCGUACCGCUUUGAAGCCAAAGGCGGCAAUCUGCUAGUGCCCUCUCCGGGAACACCUUAAAAUAACAUAAUGGGCAGCACAGAGCUAUUACGCAGCCACAUCUGCAGUCAAAACCUCGAGGCCACAAUAUAAAUCCACGGCUCUGAAAAAGUGGAAGGAGAGAGGGCAAAACAUCACACAGAAGGAAGCUACAGAGGCUCCCGCUGAGAAGGAGGGUUCCCAGCACACAGCA